CUACGGGAGGCACCAGUAAGGAAUAUUGCGCAAUGGAGGCAACUCUGACGCAGCCAUGCCGCGUGCAGGAAGAAGGCCUUAUGGGUCGUAAACUGCUUUUAUUAGGGAAUAAACCCUCGCUCGUGAGCGAGGCUGAAGGUACCUAAAGAAUAAGCACCGGCUAACUGCGUGCCAGCAGCCGCGGUAAUACGGAGGGUGCAAGCGUUAUCCGGAUGUAUUGGGUUUAAAGGGUGCGCAGGCGGACUAUUAAGUCAGUGGUGAAAUCCCGGGGCUCAACCUCGGAACUGCCAUUGAUACUGAUAGUCUUGAGUUUGGUUGAAGUAGGCGGAAUGUAGCAUGUAGCGGUGAAAUGCAUAGAUAUGCUACAGAACACCAAUCGCGAAGGCAGCUUACUAAGCCAAAACUGACGCUCAUGCACGAAAGCGUGGGGAGCAAACAGGAUUAGAUACCCCCGUAGUC
rnacentral:rRNA from 1 species